rnacentral:rRNA from 1 species
AUUGAACGCUGGCGGCAGGCCUAACACAUGCAAGUCGAACGAGUGGCGGACGGGUGAGUAAUGUAUGGGAAACUGCCCGAUGGAGGGGGAUAACUACUGGAAACGGUAGCUAAUACCGCAUACCAUCCGAUGAGCCCAUAUGGGAUUAGCUCGUUGGUGGGGUAACGGCUCACCAAGGCGACGAUCCCUAGCUGGUCUGAGAGGAUGACCAGCCACACGGGAACUGAGACACGGUCCAGACUCCUACGGGAGGCAGCAGUGGGGAAUAUUGCACAAUGGGCGCAAGCCUGAUGCAGCCAUGCCGCGUGUAUGAAGAAGGCCUUCGGGUUGUAAAGUACUUUCAGCGGGGAGGCGUUACCCGCAGAAGAAGCACCGGCUAACUCCGUGCCAGCAGCCGCGGUAAUAC